rnacentral:rRNA from 1 species
CCUACGGGUGACAGCAGUGAGGAAUAUUGGUCAAUGGACGAGAGUCUGAACCAGCCAAGUAGCGUGAAGGAUGACUGCCCUAUGGGUUGUAAACUUCUUUUAUAUGGGAAUAAAAUGUUCCACGUGUGGGAUUUUGUAUGUACCAUAUGAAUAAGGAUCGGCUAACUCCGUGCCAGCAGCCGCGGUAAUACGGAGGAUCCGAGCGUUAUCCGGAUUUAUUGGGUUUAAAGGGAGCGUAGGUGGAUUGUUAAGUCAGUUGUGAAAGUUUGCGGCUCAACCGUAAAAGUGCAGUUGAAACUGGCAGUCUGGAGUACAGUAGAGGUGGGCGGAAUUCGUGGUGUAGCGGUGAAAUGCUUAGAUAUCACGAAGAACUCCGAUUGCGAAGGCAGCUCACUGGACUGCAACUGACACUGAGGCUCGAAAGUGUGGGUAUCAAACAGGAUUAGAUACCCCUGUAGUC